ACAAAAAUGAGCACAAAUCCACCAAUUACUCAAUAAAUGACCAAGAUAAUUUGAAAAAUACCACAGAUUUUCCAAGACGUCGACUUUAUCUACCAAUUCGUUAUAUAUUUUUUUUACAAAUCCAAAGAAGCAAUGACAAAAUCAUAUAAUUUUACAGAGCAAGGCGGCGCACGGCCGCCUGUGCUGGCGUCACGUCACGUCUUAUAAUUAGACUUAUUAUUACGUCUUUUGCUGUUUUGCCAUAGCUGUUUGCCAUUGCUGCUUGCCAGUUUUGCCAUUUGCCAGUAUGUCAUAAAUG